rnacentral:rRNA from 1 species
GAUGAACGCUGGCUACAGGCUUAACACAUGCAAGUCGAGGGGAAACGACGGGGAAGCUUGCUUCCCCGGGCGUCGACCGGCGCACGGGUGAGUAACGCGUAUCCAACCUGCCUCUGACUGAGGGAUAACCCGUCGAAAGUCGGCCUAAUACCUCAUGGCAUCGUCUGCGGGCAUCCAACGACGAUUAAAGAUUUCAUCGGUCAGAGAUGGGGAUGCGUCUGAUUAGCUUGUUGGCGGGGUAACGGCCCACCAAGGCGACGAUCAGUAGGGGUUCUGAGAGGAAGGUCCCCCACAUUGGAGCUGAGACACGGACCAAACUCCUACGGGAGGCAGCAGUGAGGAAUAUUAGUCAAUGGGCGAGAGCCUGAACCAGCCAAGUAGCGUGCAGGAGGACGGCCCUAUGGGUUGUAAACUGCUUUUAUGCGGGGAUAAAGUGAGGGACGUGUCCUUCAUUGCAGGUACCGCAUGAAUAAGGACCGGCUAAUUCCGUG